rnacentral:rRNA from 1 species
GGUUAAAAACUGCGGGGAUGAGCUGUGGGUAGGGGUGAAAGGCCAAUCAAACUCCGUGAUAGCUGGUUCUCCCCGAAAUGCAUUUAGGUGCAGCGUCGUGUGUUUCUUGCCAGAGGUAGAGCUACUGGAUGGCUGAUGGGCCCCAACGGGUUACUGACGUCAACCAAACUCCGAAUGCUGGUAAGUGAGAGCACGGCAGUGAGACUGUGGGGGAUAAGCUUCAUAGUCGAGAGGGAAACAGCCCAGAUCGCCGGUUAAGGCCCCUAAGGGUGUACUAAGUGGAAAAGGAUGUGGGAUCGCGAAGACAGCCAGGAGGUUGGCUUAGAAGCAGCCAUCCUUGAAAGAGUGCGUAAUAGCUCACUGGUCGAGUGACUCUGCGCCGAAAAUGUACCGGGGCUAAAACAUAUUACCGAAGCUAUGGA